rnacentral:rRNA from 1 species
UACGUAGGGUGCAAGCGUUAAUCGGAAUUACUGGGCGUAAAGCGUGCGCAGGCGGUUAUGUAAGACAGUAGUGUGAAAUCCCCGGGCUCAACCUGGGAACUGCAUUCGUGAUCUGCGAUAGCUAGAGUACGGUAGAGGGGGAUGGAAUUCCGCGUGUAGCAGUGAAAUGCGUAGAUAUGCGGAGGAACACCGAUGGCGAAGGCAAUCCCCCUGGACCUGUACUGACGCUCAUGCACGAAAGCGUGGGGAGCAAACAGGG